AUUGAACGCUGGCGGCAGGCCUAACACAUGCAAGUCGAACGAGUGGCGGACGGGCGAGUAAUGUCUGGGAAACUGCCCGAUGGAGGGGGAUCACUAUUGGAAACGGUAGCUAAUCCCGCAUACCAUCGGAUGUGCCCAUAUGGGAUUAGCUAGUAGGUGGGGUAAUGGCUCACCUAGGCGACGAUCCCUAGCUGGUCUCAGAGGAUGACCAGCCACACUGGAACUGAGACACGGUCCAGACUGCUACGGGAGGCAGCAGUGGGGAAUGUUGCACAAUGGGCGCAAGCCUGAUGCGGCCAUGCCGCGGGUAUGGAGAAGGCCUUCGGGUUGUAAAGUACUUUCAGCGAGGAGGCGUUACGGGCAGAAGAAGCACCGGCUAACUCCGUGCCAGCAGCCGCGGUAAUAC
rnacentral:rRNA from 1 species